rnacentral:rRNA from 1 species
UACAGAGGCUGCAAGCGUUAAUCGGAAUUACUGGGCGUAAAGCGCGCGUAGGCCGUCGAGUAAGACGGAUGUGAACUCCCCGGGCUUAACCUGGGAAUUGCAUUCGAUACUGCUUGACUAGAGUGUGGAAGAGGGAAGCGGAAUUUCCGGUGUAGCGGCGAAAUGCGUAGAGAUCGGAUGGAACACCAGUGGCGAAGGCGGCUUCCUGGUCCAACACUGACGAUGAGGCGCGAAAGAGUGGGGAGCGAACAGG